rnacentral:rRNA from 1 species
GAUGAACGCUGGCGGCGUGCCUAAUACAUGCAAGUCGAGCGAACUGACCAGAAUUUUUCUCCUCUGAUUUUAGCGGCGGUCGGGUGAUUCCCUUUUGGUCAACCUACCUAUAAGACUCUUAUACUUUUGGCAAAUCUGCGCUACUACCGGAUAAUUUUUUGCACUUCAUGGUUCAAACGUCUAAUACGGUCUUUCUGUCACUUAUAGAUCGCUCCGCCCUGCAUUAGCUAGUUGGUUAGGUAACGGCUUACCAAAGCAACGAUGCAUAGCCGACCUGAGAGGGUGGACGACCACACUGGAAGUGAGACACGGUACAGACUCCGAGAGGAGGCAGCAGUAGAGAAUCUUACGCAAUGGAGGAGAGGGUAACGGAGCAAAGCCGCGUGAGGGAUGAAGGUCUUAGGAUCGUAAAACGAUGUUAGUAGGGAAGUACAUAUGUGUAAGUAACUGUGAACAUAAUGACGGUACCUAAUCAGAAAGCCACGGCUAACUACGUG